UGAGGAACAUGACCUUCGGCGGGGGAUAGCCGGCCCAACGGCUGGGUAAUACCGCGUACGACCACAUGGGGACAUCCCUGAGUGGUGAAAGCAGCAAUGCGCCGAUGGAGUGCCUCGCGGCCUAUCAGCUAGUUGGUGAGGUAACGGCUCACCAAGGCAACGACGGGUAGCUGGUCUGAGAGGAUGGCCAGCCACAUUGGGACUGAGACACGGCCCAGAUCCGUACGGGG
rnacentral:rRNA from 1 species